CCUACGGGAGGCAGCAGUAGGGAAUCUUCGGCAAUGGACGGAAGUCUGACCGAGCAACGCCGCGUGAGUGAAGAAGGUUUUCGGAUCGUAAAGCUCUGUUGUAAGAGAAGAACGAGUGUGAGAGUGGAAAGUUCACACUGUGACGGUAUCUUACCAGAAAGGGACGGCUAACUACGUGCCAGCAGCCGCGGUAAUACGUAGGUCCCGAGCGUUGUCCGGAUUUAUUGGGCGUAAAGCGAGCGCAGGCGGUUAGAUAAGUCUGAAGUUAAAGGCUGUGGCUUAACCAUAGUACGCUUUGGAAACUGUUUAACUUGAGUGCAAGAGGGGAGAGUGGAAUUCCAUGUGUAGCGGUGAAAUGCGUAGAUAUAUGGAGGAACACCGGUGGCGAAAGCGGCUCUCUGGUCUGUAACUGACGCUGAGGCUCGAAAGCGUGGGGAGCGAACAGGAUUAGAUACCCCGGUAGUC
rnacentral:rRNA from 1 species